rnacentral:rRNA from 1 species
UACGUAGGGGGCAAGCGUUGUCCGGAAUCAUUGGGCGUAAAGAGCGCGUAGGCGGCCCUGUAAGUCCGCUGUGAAAGUCAAGGGCUCAACCCUUGAAUGCCGGUGGAUACUGCAGGGCUAGAGUCCGGAAGAGGCGAGUGGAAUUCCUGGUGUAGCGGUGAAAUGCGCAGAUAUCAGGAGGAACGCCGAUGGCGAAGGCAGCUCGCUGGGACGGUACUGACGCUGAGGCGCGAAAGCGUGGGUAGCGAACAGG